ACAGCAAGUCAUAGAACCUCUUGGAACCCCAGUUUCCACAUCUGGAAGAAGGGGCAGAAUAGUAUCAAAAAUGCUUCACUCCCAGGAAUGUGGUGAGCAUAAAAUUAAAUAAUGAAAAAGUCAACUAUAAAGCACUAAAUAAAUAUAAGAUGGUGAAUCUGACAGAGGAAGAAUUAAAUGACUUGUUCAAGGUCACCUUUGAGGAAUUUGCAGGAAGUUUAACUUAUGUAUAUUUUUCCCCUGUAGUACCCCAGGGGCCUAAUGACAGGAAAACAAAUGAAGUGGAUCCCCAUCUUCCACCCUUGCCUCCGCUAAGCCAUCAGAGGACAAGUUUCCCACCCCACUCUCUCCAAUUUCACUUGAAAAAUAAAACAGGCCUCCAGCUGUGAAAUGGAUUAUGCUCUACAACUAUGUACCUGGAAUAGAAGCCAUCAUUCUUCAUGAAGUUUGCUGAGAAUUAUGUAUCGCAGCCUGGCAGCUUCCUGUUCCCUCGUUAGCCUGCAUAUCCCACUUAACGAAAGAUUCGCCAUGCACUGACUUAUGGAGUCUCACUCUGUCGCCCAGGCUGGAGUGCAGUGGCACCAUCUCGGCUCACUGCAACUUCCGCCUCCCAGGUUCAAGAGAUCCUCCUGCCUCAGCCCCACUAGUAGCUGGGAUUACAGGGAAAUCUAUUAUGGGAUGGCCUGGAUAUAUCACUUUAAAAAUCCUGCUUUUAAUGAACAAAUGAGAAAAGACCAAGAAAUUGAGCUACAGUGAGGUCACACAGCCGAGAAUCACACAGUGAAGAGUUGGGAUUUGAGCCUGGAAUACUCUGACCUCAGAGUCUGGAUGCUAGUCUCUUGCUGCCUCCCCUGUGUUAUGAGGUCAUGUCUAAAUCACCUCCGUUACUGAAAAUGCUUGUGAAAGACCUAUUCUGCUGGAUAGAGCAGUCACCUUAGUCAAAUAUGAUCCAAAUGUUGCCAUUAGGUCCUACCCAACCCCAUCAAAGAUCAGAACCUGGAGGUGUGGUAACUCCCUCCAGUCCAGAAAAAAAAAAAAAAAAACAAACCCAGUAGGUCAGAGUAAGGAGCUGCUCUGAGCCAUCAGUGGGAGGGUUAAGUUAAAGAAUAGAAAGAUGUAACCUGACCCAAAACUUAGCUCUCAUUUUCAACAGGCAAGAGCUCCUUGCAGGGUGACCUUGACUCAGACCCACAAUUUCAUCUUUUUUUUUUGUUUUCUUUUUGGAAUGGCAAUAACAAUGUCUGCCCAGCAUCCACCACUUUAAGUUGGUGUUUACAAUAGAACUGACACAGCCCUUUAAGCAGGCUCUUGCGUGCAGAGUUAACUCUCCCCUUGCACACAGAGCAGAUCGUCAGGCUCCCUCCAGCCCCAGGACCUUUCUCUAACCAUAAAAAGGCAAUUGUACCUCUAAACCCCAAAUCCUUACCUAUCCCUGCUGCACCCAGCUGUGCAAGGUGAGUCCUAGGAGGUCACAUCCCACAUGAUUCCACGUUUUCUCAUCAGUAUCCUUUGCUAGUUCCAGAUAUUGCAACAUCACUACUGUUCAAGAUUAGAACUUAAGAACUUGAAAAGGUCAAGAAAGAUGUGGUGCCUUGUCUCCACAUCAAGUAAACAGUCCGUGGCAUUGGCCUCUGACAAAUGACAACAGACUCACGGGGCAGCAGUUGAGGAGCUGUGCUUACAUGAUACUUACCAUCCUGAGAAGCAUGGAUGUAUGGGGAUACCCAUACCCUGGUAACCCAACCCCAUGGGCUCAGACAGUGUUGAACACUAGAGAAUCUUCAUCAUUUGCUCAGCUGUCACCACUUCCACAGAUGCAAGAAAUGGCCGAUGGUUCUAGAGGAUGACCCCAGCCUCUCAAAUAGAAAAGGGAGUGUGUUAGAUGUCAUCCAGCCAGUCGUAUAGAAAGGUGGACUUUAAGAAACUGUGGUUAAUGUUGGAAGGAAACAUAAGGCAGCUUUUAAAGCUAUUUUCAUAGUCUUCAAAGAGAAAUAAAUGACCAGCGCCGACGGCUGCAGACAGCAGGACAGGCAGCCUGAC